rnacentral:rRNA from 1 species
UACGUAGGGGGCAAGCGUUGUCCGGAUUUAUUGGGCGUAAAGAGCGUGUAGGCGGCCAGGUAGGUCCGCUGUGAAAACUCGAGGCUCAACCUCGAGAUGUCGGCGGAAACCAUCUGGCUAGAGUCCGGAAGAGGAGAGUGGAAUUCCUGGUGUAGCGGUGAAAUGCGCAGAUAUCAGGAAGAACACCCGUGGCGAAGGCGGCUCUCUGGGCCGAUACUGACGCUGAGGAGCGAAAGCGUGGGGAGCGAACAGG